AUUGAACGCUGGCGGCAGGCCUAACACAUGCAAGUCGAGCGGAUGAAGGGAGCUUGCUCCUGGAUUCAGCGGCGGACGGGUGAGUAAUGCCUAGGAAUCUGCCUGGUAGUGGGGGAUAACGUCCGGAAACGGGCGCUAAUACCGCAUACGUCCUGAGGGAGAAAGUGGGGGAUCUUCGGACCUCACGCUAUCAGAUGAGCCUAGGUCGGAUUAGCUAGUUGGUGGGGUAGAGGCCUACCAAGGCGACGAUCCGUAACUGGUCUGAGAGGAUGAUCAGUCACACUGGAACUGAGACACGGUCCAGACUCCUACGGGAGGCAGCAGUGGGGAAUAUUGGACAAUGGGCGAAAGCCUGAUCCAGCCAUGCCGCGUGUGUGAAGAAGGUCUUCGGAUUGUAAAGCACUUUAAGUUGGGAGGAAGGGCAGUAAGUUAAUACCUUGCUGUUUUGACGGUACCAACAGAAUAAGCACCGGCUAACUUCGUG
rnacentral:rRNA from 1 species